rnacentral:rRNA from 1 species
GAUGCCCCUGAUAAGAUUACUUGGAAAUUCACUAUGGACGACACCUACUCAGCUAAGUGAGCCUACAAUGCACAAUUUGAAGGACACACACGCUCACCCAUGCAUGUGACUGUUUGGAAAUCAUGGGCGCCGCUGAAAAGCAAAUUUUUUGACUGGCUCGUGAUGCAAACCAGAGUUUGGACUGCUGAUAGACUUGAGCGUCGUGGAUGGCCAAACUACAGUCUCUGUCCCCUCUGUAAGCAAACUAGGGAAUCCUCCACGCAUCUUCUUUGAUACUGUCAUUUUUAAGUAAGGGUGUGGUGCGACAUUGUCCAGUGGCUCGGGCUCCAAGACGUCAUCCCUAUGGAGUGGAGCACUCCUACUUCGGUGAAAGACUGGUGGCUCUGGAUCGCCCAAUCAAGGACCCCUUCACGGUCAGCGGUGACCUCCCUUUUGAUGCUCAUCUCUUGGGAGAUUUGGAAGGAGUGCAAUGCGAGAGUCUUCCGCAACUCGGCAACCCCCAUCACGGUGCUAGUGCGAAACAUUAAGGACAAAGUUAGAUUACGGGUGAUGGCGGGAGCGAAAAACUUGGGUGUUGUAAUGUCGCGAGAGUGA